rnacentral:rRNA from 1 species
GUGUCAGCAGCCGCGGUAAUACAGAGGUCCCGAGCGUUGUUCGGAUUCACUGGGCGUAAAGGGUGCGUAGGCGGUUGUGCAAGUCUGAUGUGAAAGCUUCGAGCUCAACUCGGAAAUGGCAUCGGAAACUGCACAGCUUGAGGAGUGGAGGGGGGAUUGGAAUUCUCGGUGUAGCAGUGAAAUGCGUAGAUAUCGAGAGGAACACCCGUGGCGAAGGCAAAUCCCUGGACAUCUCCUGACGCUGAGGCACGAAAGCUAGGGGAGCAAACAGGAUUAGAAACCCGAGUAGUCC